CCCUUAGAUGUUCUGGGCCGCACGCGCGCUACACUGAUGCAUUCAACGAGUCUAAAACCUGCUCUGAUAGGGGUGGGUAAUCUUUUGAAUGUGCAUCGUGAUUGGGAUAGAUGAUUGCAAUUAUUAAUCUUCAACGAGGAAUGCCUAGUAGGCGCAAGUCAUCAGCUUGCGUCGAUUACGUCCCUGCCCUUUGUACACACCGCCCGUCGCUCCUACCGAUUGGGUGUGCUGGUGAAAUGUUCGGAUCGGCCGUUUGUCGCGGUUUCCGCGUCAUGUGGCUGAGAAGUUCAUUAAACCCUCCCACCUAGAGGAAGGAGAAGUCGUAACA
rnacentral:rRNA from 1 species